rnacentral:lncRNA from 1 species
UUUCAUCCAAAGGAGCCCCAGUCCUGAAUCGGAGCAAACUCACCUGGAAAACAGGCCGAGAAGCCUUUGAAAUGGCCAGGCCGCCUUUCAGAGAAAUGCUUUAAGGAAUUAUUCCUGAAGUCUAAAUGGAGCUGGAUGGGCCUUUUCUAAACCCUUAAAAUCUGAAAUGACCUGAAGGUAAAAAGACUACUUGACUUUGGAUUUAAUUUCUUUGUAAUACUUUCUUCACUGCUUCCAGCUCAGACUACAGUAGUUUACACAAACUUAAGAGAGCCAGUCUGAUAAGAAGUUAUUAAAAUUCUAUUUAUCAUUUUAAGUUUAUUUAUUGUUAAAAAAGGAUUUAAAUGAGGAA